rnacentral:rRNA from 1 species
UCUGGGUCCAACCUCCCACCCGUGUUUAUUUUACCUUGUUGCUUCGGCGGGCCCGCCUUAACUGGCCGCCGGGGGGCUUACGCCCCCGGGCCCGCGCCCGCCGAAGACACCCUCGAACUCUGUCUGAAGAUUGUAGUCUGAGUGAAAAUAUAAAUUAUUUAAAACUUUCAACAACGGAUCUCUUGGUUCCGGCAUCGAUGAAGAACGCAGCGAAAUGCGAUACGUAAUGUGAAUUGCAAAUUCAGUGAAUCAUCGAGUCUUUGAACGCACAUUGCGCCCCCUGGUAUUCCGGGGGGCAUGCCUGUCCGAGCGUCAUUGCUGCCCUCAAGCACGGCUUGUGUGUUGGGCCCCGUCCUCCGAUCCCGGGGGACGGGCCCGAAAGGCAGCGGCGGCACCGCGUCCGGUCCUCGAGCGUAUGGGGCUUUGUCACCCGCUCUGUAGGCCCGGCCGGCGCUUGCCGAUCAACCCAAAUUUUUAUCCAGGUUGACCUCGGAUCAGGUAGGGAUACCCGCUGAACUUAA